CCGGCAGGAGCCGCCCGGAGGGGCCGGGAAGGACGUUCCCAGGCUGGCGGGGACCUUGGGGCGGGGUUUCGCCUCCCUGUGGGUGACAGGUCUUUCUAACCUGUUGCAGCAGAAGACAUCAGAAAAACUCUUAAGACUGUGUAUUUAUCAGACUUCAGCUUCUAAUUUCUUUGAGUACAAUGCCAAGACCCACUCCUCAUAUCUCUCUUUUCUGUGGAUUAGGAGUUAGAAGCUUAGUGGAAAAGUUCUGAAUUGGGAAACAUGUCUGCAAAUGAGUCACCUCCUCUAAUGCAAUGCUACAGUGCUAAAAUGUUUUUGGGUUCAUGCUCUGGGUGUCCUGCUGUUGACACUACCGAAGUGAGCCCUGUGACCAUCUCCAGAGCUCACUGAGCGAACACUGAUAUUUUGGGAGCUCAGCGAUGGACCUGGAGACUCC